rnacentral:lncRNA from 1 species
CUCCCCCCACUACAUUUGGUACAAAGAAUAAAUCAAUCUCAGUGGACAGCAAUUUCCUCCCCAGGUGGACUCAGCAUCAGAUUAACACUGGAGGCAUCAAAUUAUCUGCAUCAGAUGUGGACUUCGUUCCUGCUCUCUGUUGAUUUCAAAAAAACAAACUCUCAUCUCAUUUUCUACAAGUAAGGCAUUAGGAACAGUGGUGGUAGCACACUACACGUUCUUCUCCUACAGUAGCUGUACAGUUCGCAUAUUUCGGUGUGGAACACCCCAUUAAAGGUGUUUCUGCUGAACGUUGGGCCAUUGGACUUCCACUGUCUUUUGUCCAUCGUGUUUUGUGCACUGUAUGCCCAAAUCCUCCCCCAAGGGCUCGCACAUAACCAACGGCUCCAGACCAAUCCUGUGACCCCCUAGGGUCUCCUCUUGGAAGUGAAAGAAAAAGGAGAGCUAGAUGGUUUCUUUGGGAAGCAAUGCUUCCCAAUUAAGUGCAUUUCCAGUGUUUUUCAAGCUGGACUUCGGAACUCUUAACCAGUUUAACAGCCAGGAGCAGUCCAGCCUGCUACAGAUACUGCAGAUCUGGUGAUCAAACUGCUGUAUUACCUGGACAGCAAGAAUGUCACAUAUUUGUGUCAUUAACCUGCCACGCGUUAGAGAGCUCAUAACAAAAUGCAACCCUUACAUUACAUUAACAUGAUCCUUAAAGAAGGGCACCCUCAUGCAAACAUUAAUUGAGUAAUAAGUGCUCUGAUUUCUCUCUUUUUCUCCCUGCACUCUCCUGGCUUCUGCUUUCUGCUCGAAUGGAGCCGAGUGACCAUCGCUGUGACUGCCCAUUAUGUGAAAAGAGCUGGGUCCAUAUGGAAGGCUGGUGAGAAAGGAGUGUCUCAAUGAAAUGAUAACCACAUGCACCACCCUCAGAGCAUCUGCCCUCCAGCAGCUGACAAAAUAUCCACCUUCUGAGCGCAAUGGUUGUAAUGACCCACCUUGCAAAAUUCAACACCAGGAAAACAAAUGACGUCCGGCCCACCCACA